UGCGCAGGCGGACUUUUAAGUCAGUGGUGAAAGCCGACAGCUCAACUGUCGAACUGCCAUUGAAACUGAAAGUCUUGAAUGCGGUCGAGGUAAAUGGAAUGUGUCAUGUAGCGGUGAAAUGCUUAGAUAUGAUACAGAACACCAAUUGCGAAGGCAGUUUACUAGACCGAUAUUGACGCUCAGGCACGAAAGCGUGGGGAGCGAACAGGAUUAGAUACCCUGGUAGUCC
rnacentral:rRNA from 1 species